GGAUACAAAUCCAUAUCACAGCUCUUCAGUCUAUAGUAAAAAUGUAAGAUAUUUCAACAAUAACUUCCACUUCAGAAACUACAUCCGAAAAGACAAUUUAAAUUGUAAAUCGGUUAAGCAAAACCGAAUUUAGGUUAAUUUUUUUCGAGUGAAAUGUAAAUUAUAUUUUGCUUUGUUGUUGGUUUCGUUGGAACAUUUUUUUUAUUCGAUUCAAAUAGGAAAUGAAAUUGUUAUUAAUAUUAAAAUACCCAUCCAAAGUUCUUCUAAAUUUACAUUACAUGUGAUGUCGUUAAAUAAAGUAGAAUUGCUGUUGCAAUGAGAAUUGUUUAAUUCAUUUGAAUAUGUUGAUAUUCACAAUUUACAAAACGGUUAAUAAAUAUGCGAUGGGGAGAGUGUUCGUUCCGAAUGGUAAUGCACUAAAGGAUUUCCGAAUAUCAAUUUCGAUAAAAAUUCAGAAUUUUAAAUCGUUUUUUUUUUGUAGUAAGAAAUGUCCCAAUAAAUGGAUCAUCGAUAAUCAACAUAAA